AAAUGCUCUGUAUCCAAAUGCCAGCUGAGAUCAUUAGCCACGCUGAAAUUCGUUGACUCGUACUGUGCUAAGGUUGCUGCUAGACGUUGUUAACAGAGUUAGUGGUCUUUGGUUAUGGUGGUUAGCAGCCCCACUUAUCUGUUCCAUACUACCAGUGAAUAGUUUAAAAUUCAUGUUGCACCUAUAAUUUAUCCCACAUAAAUAAUUCAGGCUAUUUAUUUUGGCAUUCAAUUGAUUUUUUUCUCACUUUAAAAAACUGAGGUAUGGAGACUGGUGCUAGCAACACGGGAUUGGCUAACGCAUCCUCUUGCUGUUCCCGGUGUUUGGGCCUUGCCUGUGACAGUGGGAAAAAAAAUGGCCUUGCUGUGCUACAACCGGAGCUGCGGUCAGCGCUUCGAUCCUGAGACCAAUUCCGACGAUGCUUGCACAUAUCACCCAGGCGUUCCAGUCUUUCACGAUGCAUUAAAGGGUUGGUCUUGCUGUAAGAGAAGAACAACUGAUUUUUCUGAUUUCUUAAGCAUUGUAGGCUGUACAAAAGGUAGACAUAAUAGUGAGAAGCCACCUGAGCCAGUCAAACCUGAGGUCAAGACUACUGAGGAGAAGGAACUAUCUGAAUUAAAACCAAAAUUUCAGGAACACAUUCAAGCCCCUAAGACAGUAGACGCGAUAAAAAGACCAAGCCCAGAUGAACCAAUGACAAAUUUGGAAUUAAAAAUAUCUGCCUCCCUAAAACAAGCACUUGAUAAACUUAAACUGUCAUCAGGGAAUGAAGAAAAUAAGAAAAGAAGACAAUGAUGAAAUUAAGAUUGGGACCUCAUGUAAGAAUGGAGGGUGUUCAAAGACAUAUCGGGGUCUAGAGAGUCUAGAAGAAGUCUGUGUAUAUCAUUCUGGAGUACCUAUUUUCCAUGAGGGGACGAAAUACUGGAGCUGUUGUAGAAGAAAAACUUCUGAUUUUAAUACAUUCUUAGACCAAGAGGGCUGUACAAAAGAGAAACAUGUGGACUAAAAAAGAUGCUGGGAAAAAAGUUGUUCCAUGUAGACAUGACUGGCAUCAGACUGGAGGUGAAGUUACCAUUUCAGUAUAGGCUAAAAAUUCACUUCCAGAACUUAGUCGAGUAGAAGCAAAUAGCACAUUGUUAGAUGCGCAUAUUGUAUUUGAAGGAGAGAAGGAAUUUGAUCAAAAUGUGAAAUUAUGGGGUGUGAUUGAUGUAAAGCGAAGUUAUUAACUAUGACUGCAACAAAGAUUGAAAUCACUAUGAGAAAA
rnacentral:lncRNA from 1 species